rnacentral:lncRNA from 1 species
GCCUCCUUUGUGAAAGAUAAGGUGGCUGAGUGCCUUCACUGUAUUUUUUUAUCACCAUUUGUAGGUUAGUCUGAAUCACGUUUUGCCAGAGGGCAGAGAAGCACUUGAAGACCAAUGGAAUCACAUCAAAAGAACACAAGGCAUUCAAAAAGGUUCUCACUGGUCUAAGAAGUCACCUAUUUACUCAUAUAAUCAAUAAAUGUGCUUGUUAAGUACUUUGUGAGACACUGGAGAUGGAGUGAGAAGAACAGGGGACCUCAGCCUUCAUGGAUCUCAGAACCACAAUGGAUUGAGACCAAAGUGAUUCCUGCAGGGCCUGACCGUCUAUGGAUCCACUUCCUGUGCCUGAGGCUGCUGAGAGAUAGUUUUACAAGCUCAGCCCACCUACACAGCAGUGAGCCUGGAACAGUGGUGAAUGAAAAGAAGAGAUUCAAGAAGACAUCCUUGAAGCUUUUGGACAUGAGUUCAAAGAUCACUGUGGUAAAACUGAGCAAUAGCCUUAGCUGUGGAAGAUAUGCAGAGAAAAUAAAUGAUUGAGAAAAGUUAAUUUGAUCAAAGAGGGCUAACUUCCAUUAUUUUGUUUCAUCUUUUUAACACAGU